AUGGAUAAUCAGCUUUCUCAGCAUCAUUUGUUAAAGCGCCUACCUUUCCAGAUUGCCACCAGAAUCGCAGCCUGCUCCGGUCCCGCUGCACCGCUUCUCGCUCCCGUCGCCAAGGCCGCCUAUAAGCUGGUGCUUAUGGCGGCAAGAGUGCCUGGAACCUGGAGAACCGCUUCAGUGGCUGGUAGGAGACCAGCUUGAGCUCGGCGGGACACGAAGAGGUGAAGUGCGGCAGGCAGGCAUUGCGAGAUGCUGGUUACGAAUUUGAUAUCUGCUUCACCUCAGUGCACAAAAGAGCAACCCGGACCCUCUGGACAGUACUGGAUGCCACUGACCAGAUGUGGCUGCCGGUGGUGAGAACUGGGUGUCUCAAUGAGCAGCACUAUGGGGGCCUGACUGGCCUGAAUAAAGCAGAAAUGCCUGCCAAGCAUGGCGAGGCCCAGGUGAAGAUCUGGUGGUGCUCCUACAAUGUCCCACCACCCCUGAUAGAGCCUGACCACCCCUUCUACAGGAACAUCAGCAAGGAUCGUAGGUAUGCAGACCUCGCUGAAGAUCAGCUGCCUUCUGUGAGAGUCUGAAAGACACCAUUGCCAGAGCUCUACCCAUCCGAAAUGAAGAAAUUGUUCCCCAGAUCGAGGAGGGGAAAAGGUAUUGAUUGCAGCCCACAGCAACAGCCUCCGGGGUGUAGUCAAGCAAUUGGAAGGUCUCUCUGAAAAAGCCAUCAUGGAGCUGAACCUGCCAACUGGUAUUCCUAUUGUCUACGAGCUGGAUAAAAACUUAAAGCCCAUCAAGCCCAUGCAGUUCCUCGGGGAUGAAGAGACCGUGCGCAAAGCCACGGAAGCUGUGGCUGCCCAGGGCAAGGCCAAGAAGUGAAGAGCACCAGCAGCCUGCGCCCCAUC